rnacentral:rRNA from 1 species
UACGGGGGGGUAAGCGUUGUUCGGAAUUACUGGGCGUAAAGGGCUCGUAGGCGGCCAACUAAGUCAGACGUGAAAUCCCUCAGCUUAACUGGGGAACUGCGUCUGAUACUGGAUGGCUUGGAUUUGGGAGAGGGAUGCGGAAUUCCAGGUGUAGCGGUGAAAUGCGCAGAUAUCAGGUGGAACACCGGUGGCGAAGGCGGUGGUCUGGGCCGGCACUGACGCUGUAGAGCGAAAGCGUGGGGAGCGAACAGG